UACGGAGGGUGCAAGCGUUGUCCGGAAUCACUGGGCGUAAAGGGCGCGUAGGCGGCCUGGUAAGUAGGGGGUGAAAUCCUGCGGCUUAACCGCAGGGCUGCCUUCUAAACUGUCAGGCUUGAGCACGGUAGAGGCAGAUGGAAUUCCCGGUGUAGCGGUGGAAUGCGUAGAGAUCGAGAAGAACAUCAGUGGCGAAGGCGGUCUGCUGGGCCGUUGCUGACGCUGAGGCGCGACAGCGUGGGGAGCAAACAGG
rnacentral:rRNA from 1 species